rnacentral:rRNA from 1 species
GACGGUGGCAAUGAGUCUGACCUUCUGGCCCGAAAGGGUUGGGUAAACUGGUCAAUCACCGUCAUGACAGGGAUCGGGGCUUGGAAUUGUUCCCCGUGAACGAGGAAUUCCUAGUAAGUGCAAGUCAUAAGCUUGCGCUGAUUACGUCCCUGCCCUUUGUACACACCGCCCGUCGCUACUACCGAUUGAAUGGUUUAGUAAGGUCCUUGGAUUGGAGCCAUUGUGGUGGUUGCCGAAAGGUGGUCACCCGACAGGCGCCGAGAAGACGACCAAAC